ensembl:lncRNA
GUCGGUUAUCUGGAAGAGAAGUGGAGAGAUCCAGUGUUAAUGAAAGUGUGAGUACACUGAAAUAUUCAUCGAGUCAACAGUUAUUUUGCAAGUGUGGAAUAUCCAUAUAUCCCUUGUGAGUUGUGACCAGUGUGAGCGGCCCCACCGUAAUAGGAUUGGUGGGUGAGCCGGAACCAGCGAAAAAGGAGUCUGGUGCCUUGUCGUGGCUGUGACGUUCCCUCUGGCCGUCUGCUGCAUCGGUGCCCCCAACGUCCAGGAACUAAUCCCCGGUCCUAUGUGGUUUUGACCCUAAUUCACUGUGAGUGUGUGGAGUGCAGUGGGCGAGUCCUUUUCUUUGCUGUGUGUAUACUUGAAGUCUGCAGUGUCGUGCUGUGUCAUGUUGUCAGUAAUCACCCUCUAGGCUGGGAGAGAAAACCCUGUGGAGAAGAACGUGCACCGGUGUUGUGAGACGACCGUCUUUUAUAUACAUGCCCGCUCGCGGCUUUGGACCCCUACUCCGUCGAGUGGCGACGUGUCAACAAUAGCAAAGGUUCGCCCCUGUCUAGAUCUCUGGUCCGUUGUUUGGAAGAGAGGAGAGGGAAGCGUUCGAGUCAUUCCUGAGGUACAUACCCGGUGGCACAAACCUACCUGAAGUCACCCAGUGUGGUGGCACCAGCUGAGGCCGUGGAAGGCCCAACGUGCAGCAACUUCAAUCUGUACUUCUAUCCACUCUUGGUCAAAUUCGAGAGUCCUACAGGUCUGCGCUUGAGGCUCUGAGUCGUCGUGGGAGUGUUUCCACGGUUGGAGGUGACCGUGUUGAGUGUCGGUCUGGGAAGUCUGCCCCGGUGAAGAAGACCACAGUUGUCGUGACAUAUACACCUUCUCUAGACUCCCGAGCUGAAAAGGGCUAAAGCCUGACGUCCACCUCUUCGAGGGUCUGGACUGGAAGGGCCCCACUGACGGUUCUCCUGCAGGAGAAACACAAAGGCACUACUGAGGAAAAACCCUGUUGAGUCACGUGAAGGAAAGGACACAAAUUACCUACAGGUUUAUCUGAGAGUCCCCGUGACAGAGUCAGAAGCGACUCGGACCUAUACUCUCUGGCCCCGAGAGUGGAUUUUAGAUUCCCUUUUCCCUUCCCUGCACACCUUUUAAAUAAUUUAAAUAAAGUCUGUUUUAAUUACACUCCCUCUCUCUCGCGUGUCUGGUCAUUGGGGUGUUCUUGGGACCUCCUCGAGGUGGAAACUAGGGAGGGGCGAGACUCACAACAUCUGUGGUCCGCUCCGAUCUGUGAC